AUUGAACGCUGGCGGCAUGCCUUACACAUGCAAGUCGAACGGCAGCACGGGAGCAAUCCUGGUGGCGAGUGGCGAACGGGUGAGUAAAGUAUCGGAACGUGCCCAGUCGUGGGGGAUAACGUAGCGAAAGUUACGCUAAUACCGCAUACGAUCUAUGGAUGAAAGCGGGGGAUCGCAAGACCUCGCGCGAUUGGAGCGGCCGAUAUCAGAUUAGGUAGUUGGUGGGGUAAAGGCUCACCAAGCCGACGAUCUGUAGCUGGUCUGAGAGGACGACCAGCCACACUGGAACUGAGACACGGACCAGACUCCUACGGGAGGCAGCAGUGGGGAAUUUUGGACAAUGGGCGCAGGCCUGAUCCAGCCAUGCCGCGUGCAGGAUGAAGGCCUUCGGGUUGUAAACUGCUUUUGUACGGAACGAAAAGGUUUGACUUAAUACGUUGGACUCAUGACGGUACCGUAAGAAUAAGCACCGGCUAACUACGUGCCAGCCGCCGCGGUAA
rnacentral:rRNA from 1 species